GACGAACGCUGGCGGCGUGCUUAACACAUGCAAGUCGAACGGUGAAGGGACCGGUUUUUGCUGGUUCUGGAUGAGUGGCGAACGGGUGAGUAACACGUGAGUAACCUGCCCCCUUCUUCUGGAUAACCGCAUGAAAGUGUGGCUAAUACGGGAUAUUCUGCGCCUGCUGCAUGGUGGGUGUGGGAAAGAUAUUGUUUCGGUGGGGGAUGGGCUCGCGGCCUAUCAGCUUGUUGGUGGGGUGAUGGCCUACCAAGGCGGUGACGGGUAGCCGGCCUGAGAGGGUGGACGGUCACACUGGGACUGAGACACGGCCCAGACUCCUACGGGAGGCAGCAGUGGGGAAUAGGGCACAAUGGGCGCAAGCCUGAUGCAGCGACGCCGCGUGAGGGAUGGAGGCCUUCGGGUUGUAAACCUCUUUCGCCAGUGAAGCAGGCCUGUCCCUUUUGUGGGUGGGUUGACGGUAGCUGGAGAAGAAGCGCCGGCUAACUACGUG
rnacentral:rRNA from 1 species